rnacentral:rRNA from 1 species
UACGUAGGGUGCAAGCGUUUGUCCGGAAUUAUUGGGCGUAAAGGGCUCGUAGGCGGUUUGUCGCGUCGGGAGUGAAAACUCAGGGCUUAACCCUGAGCCUGCUUCCGAUACGGGCAGACUAGAGGUAUGCAGGGGAGAAUGGAAUUCCUGGUGUAGCGGUGAAAUGCGCAGAUAUCAGGAGGAACACCGGUGGCGAAGGCGGUUCUCUGGGCAUUACCUGACGCUGAGGAGCGAAAGCGUGGGGAGCGAACAGG